UCGCGUAGUGAGCACCAUUUGUGGAUACCUCUUAGUAACAGACGGAUAAACCCUAAUUUUGUGCGAUAGCUGACGAAAACGAAAUACCAUACGAGGUCUUUGAAAUUUCUUUAACUUCUCUGUUUAGAACUGUUUUGUGUUCUAGUAAUAGCAAACACUGUGCCCAGUGCGCAACAUUUAACCUCCAACUGAGAGCACAUCAAUUUUACCCACCGGAAUCUGAAUAAACGCUGUAAUUUUCCUUACAAAAGAGAGAGGACUACGCGCCCCAGUGUCCACGAUGCUGGAUAGUCAAGAAGUACCAGGGAAGGGAAAAAGAUUUGAAAGUAACCUGUCUGCUAGUCCUAGCCCUUUCCUUGGCCAUCAGCCUUGAGACCAAGAAAGAACAUCUGAAAAACUACUUCAUGAAGCCAUAAGACAACAAUGCACCUUCUUUCUGUACUUGUCUAAGUAUGUGAGUAGUUCAAAAGGUCUACAUCCCCUUUCUAGCAGAUCACAGUCAACCAGCUGCCUCCCUAGCUUAGCUAUAGCUCCCCCUACCAGUUACUCCAUAUUUCCCUAAUAAUGUCCUCUCCUUCCUUUUUUCAGACCAGCAAAAACCCAAUAUAACACAUUUUAAAAACCAUCCAUUUGCACACAUCUGGGCCAUAGUAGCUCACAACAUACCCAUCCAUCCACUUAUAGCCUAGCCAUUGGGCAACAUAGCCCA